rnacentral:rRNA from 1 species
ACGCUCGACACCUACGGGAGCAGCAGUGAGGAAUAUUGGUCAAUGGGCGCUAGCCUGAACCAGCCAAGUAGCGUGAAGGAUGAAGGCUCUAUGGGUCGUAAACUUCUUUUAUAUAAGAAUAAAGUGCAGUAUGUAUACUGUUUUCGUAUGUAUUAUAUGAAUAAGGAUCGGCUAACUCCGUGCCAGCAGCCGCGGUAAUCUGAGCGGGCGUGGCGAAGGC